rnacentral:lncRNA from 1 species
UCUGGCUGCCCGUAGCUACUAUUUUUAGUCCUGGUGAGCAGUGAAAGGAGGAGAGCCGGGAGGGAGGAAGACAGGCUUACGGGGAUCAGGAGCCAGUCUCUUUUCAUUAGCUGGGCACUGCUUUUGCCCAGCCAGCAGGGCAAGUCAAAGGUUUGGUUCCUUGGGGCGCAUCAGAGUGCCACGUCUGACAACAGAUUUAUCAUCAUUCAAAGGGUGCAGUAAUUGGAGGAGACAGCCCUUCUCAAUUUCCCCUACAAACCACUUACGGUGCAGUUCUGUUGCUGCACAGCCUUAGGAGGAUGGGACGUCCACACCAGAGAGAGGCCGGCACACAGCCAAACUGCACUUCCAGGCUCUCUGCAGGCUUCAGCCUCUUCUUGGUGUAUGAUCUGGAUGAUGCUUCGUAAGGAAGAUAUCUGCCUGCCUAUUGCAUCUCAUGUUUUCAAGCCUGGGAUGACAAAUUUAUUUCUGGUUCCUGAGUAGAAGCAGAAAGAAGACCACACUGUCUCUACCUUUAAUCUGUUGAGAUAGCAAUAAUUCUUCCUCAUAAAUAUAGG